ensembl:lncRNA
AGCUGCUCCUACUUUGCUGCUCUCUCUGCUCUCAGAUUUCGUCUUUGUUGGCCCCUUAGCUCUGCCUUUUACUCUUCUGACCCUAAAACACGUGUUCCCGUGGGAGGAAAGGAGAACUGACUGAAAAGCUCCCGGUCUCCCGGAGGUGGUGCUGGGUGCUUCAUGCGUGCUCUCUUCAAACAUUAACCUUAUUUCUCUUCUCUUCCAAAGUUUGUUGAACUCUGUUUCCCCUUUUUAUUUCUGAGAUUUUCAGAAUUUUUUCUAAAGAUUCAAUUUUAAGUGAAGAUUUCUAGUGAUAUCCUUAAAAGGAAGAAAUCGGUUUCAGGAUGCAACUCACAGGUCCAUUCCAGAAGGUCAGGAGGUGCAGACGAGUUGAGCUGUUGACUCAGCUGAGACAUGCUCCUAACAUCGUCCUGCUUAAGUGCACGCAUCUUUUCAAGUGCAGCUAACUUACAGCCCAAGACAGAGGUCUGAUUUUUACAGAAGCUCCAAGAACUUCAUGGAGUUUUGUCCUCAAAGCAGACAGGGACGUGGGGCAGCUGCAGGAGAACGGGAGGAGGAGAGGCCGACGGCGCCGGGCGCAUGCGGAACGAGCGGGUGCCCACCCCAGGGCCCCGCCUUGUGUCUGUGACUCUGCUCUCUAAAGGCUGGCUGUGGAGUGAGACCACGUCAUUCAUUAUCAGCUGGCUUAUCUCCCUCUUGGUUUAUUUGUAGAAAGUUUCCGAAGCGUAUCUGUGAACCCUUAUUCCAUGGGAUGUCAACAAGUGUUACACACACACACACACACACACACACACAAACAGAAAAAACAACUAUCCACAGUCAAAUAAGCUUCUUUACUGCAGAAUUCUCAGGAAUUCUAGGAUCCCAGGCACACUGCGAAUCAGCACGAGAGGAACCCUGAGUGGACACGCUCAUGUUUACUGGUGAUGACGCUUUUUUCUGCAGAACAUCUGACAGGAACAGCACUGCCUGGAAGGAAGCUCAGGAAACACAGGCUUAGCUUCCUCUCUAAAUCAGUUUAUUCUCUUGUGGAUACCAGGGAUGGCAAGGAAGAUGCUUCAUCACGUAGAACAGAGAAGAAAGUGGUUCUGGGAUUAAACUGUUGUUAUAGGGAACUCACAGAACGGCCAAUUCACGCGGACAAAAUCUCUGAGAACUGACAGUUACCGUUGUGUAACUUCAUAAUGGGAUGGCGAGGAUGGGCCCUGGGCUCGUUUUUAUAUACACUGUGAAAGUUGGCAAUAGCAAUCUAUCCCUCGGUAUUUUAGAUCAAUUAUGUAAAGUUAGAAUCAUUUCGAUUUCAUUUCUCUCAAUCCACCAGACCUGAUUUUUAAAAAUUCAAGAUUCACUCAUUUGAUUUAAGUAUCACUAGUGUGAAGUAUUUCCAUCCUCCUUCUACUGGAAGCGAAUUUCCCGGUUAGGACACGGCUUCACUAGAGACGAGUAACAGCGGCUGUAACUGGAUGCUGUGUGAUUUCAUCACGCUGUGAAAACACUUCGACCAGUCCAAAUUGGUCUAUGAAGGUUUCUUUCUGUUUGUUCCAGUUCCAGCUCUCCUAAUCACUCCAGCUCCUGUGUUUGCUGGGAUUUUGUGAUAUCUCUGGAUUCUGACACAUGCUAUGAUUCAGUGCCAAAUUCCAUUUCCUAAGUUAUUG